rnacentral:rRNA from 1 species
UACAGAGGGUGCAAACGUUGCUCGGAAUUACUGGGCGUAAAGCGCGUGUAGGCUGACAUGCAAGUCGGGUGUGAAAUCCCAGGGCUCAACCUUGGAACUGCAUUCGAAACUGCAUGUCUUGAGUACUGGAGAGGGAAGCGGAAUUCCGGGUGUAGAGGUGAAAUUCGUAGAUAUCCGGAGGAACACCAGUGGCGAAGGCGGCUUCCUGGACAGUUACUGACGCUGAGACGCGAAAGCGUGGGGAGCAAACAGG